AGGGUGAUGGGGUCAGGAAGUGAGGCUUUAGCGGUAAAAGAAGAGUAGGAGGAAAAAGGAGAAUAGAGUUAUUUCUAGAGGCAAGAAUUCAGUGACGGUCCCCUGUAGCCAGCGGUCUGUUACCCACUGUAGAAUAUCUGCUACUUCAAGGGAAGCAGGCCUGGACCACUGUGUAUCGGCUAGUAGGAGCCUAACGAAGCUAGUGAAUUUACAGUAAAGACAGAACCACAUAUAGUAUUAAUGGACAAAGGGUGGGUGCCCCUCGAGAGGGAGACCAGUCUGAUGCCUUCCUGGCCAUGUCCCCGAAGGGAUGUUUCAGGGCAUCUUGGCU